rnacentral:rRNA from 1 species
UAGGGAAUCUUCGGCAAUGGGGGCAACCCUGACCGAGCAACGCCGCGUGAGUGAAGAAGGUUUUCGGAUCGUAAAGCUCUGUUGUAAGUCAAGAACGAGUGUGAGAGUGGAAAGUUCACACUGUGACGGUAGCUUACCAGAAAGGGACGGCUAACUACGUGCCAGCAGCCGCGGUAAUACGUAGGUCCCGAGCGUUGUCCGGAUUUAUUGGGCGUAAAGCGAGCGCAGGCGGUUUGAUAAGUCUGAAGUUAAAGGCUGUGGCUCAACCAUAGUUCGCUUUGGAAACUGUCAAACUUGAGUGCAGAAGGGGAGAGUGGAAUUCCAUGUGUAGCGGUGAAAUGCGUAGAUAUAUGGAGGAACACCGGUGGCGAAAGCGGCUCUCUGGUCUGUAACUGACGCUGAGGCUCGAAAGCGUGGGGAGCGAACAGGAUUAGAUACCCCGGUAGUCCACGCCGUAAACGAUGAGUGCUAGGUGUUGGAUCCUUUCCGGGAUUCAGUGCCGCAGCUAACGCAUUAAGCACUCCGCCUGGGGAGUACGACCGCAAGGUUG